GUUGUUUUUCACUGGGGUUUUCCAGGGAAGGGGAAAAAAUAAUUGUCAUUGUUGUUCCCUUUUGCUCUGGAAUGCAGGAAACAUGGGAGUUUGCCUGCAAAGUUCAGAUUCAAACUUUUUGGAAAGUUCAGUGUUUUCUUAAAACUCAUCAUGAAGGGGGACCAACAGGAAUUUGGACCCGACUUUAUUUCUGAACCUGUACAAAACUGUGGCUGUUUGCUUACAGCCUGUGGCCUCUUUAUUUAUCAGUGGUAUUGAUGGAGAGUCUGUCGUGGGCUUGCUCUGCUGGGAGGUAAUUUUGCUUGAUGCCUGUAACAGUCAUUUAGCUUCUAAUUAUCAGGUAGAAGUUGGAGAGACACUACACACGCUGCUGAGGAUGCUGCUCUGUGUGGUAGGUUUGUGAACCACUGCACCAUCACUCUGCUCACGGGACUUAACGAGGUUCCAUUGCCUUACUGCAAAAUUGAAGUUGGUUAAACCUAAUGGAAGCUUUUCUCAGCAAAGCCUUUUUCAGGGAAAAACCAAACCACUUGUGUUCAGGCUGAAGCAAACCUUUCUUUUGGUCUUCUCCAUUCCUUCGGCUUCAGUGUGGCUCCAGUUGAAGAACCUGCAGAAGCUGCAGCUGCGUUGCUGUUCCUGUAGACCAGAUUGCUCUCAUCGAAGGGUCGUAUGGGAUUCACAUCACAGCCCAGGUUGGAGACACUUUGGAGGCUGCACUGCAGUCACAUCACAUCCAUCCCCAGCCACGUCUGCUCCAGCACACACAGCUCUCUUCUGGGCCCUCACCUUCUCAGGGGAAAUCUGGGAAACCUUUCUGCACAACGUGCCUGUGGUCCCCCCCUCUCUCUGGUGCGUUGUAGGACUUGUCAGCUCCACAUUAUGUUCUUCAACAUAGAUGCUGCUUGACUUGAAAACCACAGGGUUUUCUUGUCUUUCAUUGUUUAUCCACUUCUUCCUCUCCUCGUAACUACUGUCUUCCUUCUGCUGCGCACAUGAACCAAAGGACCCUCUGAAACUCUUCACUUGAACAAGAACUUUUGUCUUCAGUGAGAAUUUUGCUUUGGCAGAACAGCAGGACGUGGUCUGAAUUGUGGAAAAUCCUCUGCAAUUGAAUCAGCAAAAAUUACAGCUUUUAAACUGGCUCUGAAGAAAGAGUAGGAGCUCAGCUUUGGCGAGGGAGUCUGCAUCUCUCUGGGUAAAUGACAAAUGAUUCACUAAUUCUGUAAAGCAAGGUGUAUAAAUUUUCAUGUUUUUUAAAACAUAUUAACUGUUGUAAAGUUUGUAAAUACCUUUUUAAAAUAAAUGUAGUUUUUAUGAGUGAACGAGUAAAAAAA